CAAGUCGAGGGGUAACAGAGGUAGCUUGCUACUUGCUGACGACCGGCGCACGGGUGCGUAACGCGUAUACAAUCUGCCUUAUACAGAGGGAUAGCCUUUAGAAAUGAAGAUUAAUACCGCAUGGUCUAUUAAUAUAGCAUUAUAUAAAUAGUAAAGCUUCGGCGGUAUAAGAUGAGUAUGCGUCCUAUUAGUUAGUUGGUAAGGUAACGGCUUACCAAGACAACGAUAGGUAGGGGCCCUGAGAGGGGGAUCCCCCACACUGGUACUGAGACACGGACCAGACUCCUACGGGAGGCAGCAGUGAGGAAUAUUGGACAAUGGAGGUAACUCUGAUCCAGCCAUGCCGCGUGCAGGAAGACGGCCCUAUGGGUUGUAAACUGCUUUUAUAUAGGAAGAAACCUUUUCACGUGUGAGAAGCUGACGGUACUAUAAGAAUAAGGACCGGCUAACUCCGUGCCAGCAGCCGCGGUAAUACGGAGGGUCCGAGCGUUAUCCGGAAUCAUUGGGUUUAAAGGGUCCGUAGGCGGGAAUCUAAGUCAGUGGUGAAAUCUUACAGCUCAACUGUAAAAUUGCCAUUGAUACUGGGUUUCUUGAAUUAGUGUGAAGUGAUUAGAAUGUGUAGUGUAGCGGUGAAAUGCAUAGAUAUUACA
rnacentral:rRNA from 1 species